CCUCUGGUGCAUGACAAAUUCAUUUUCUUGAUUGUGUUCUUUCUUUUUUUUGUUGCCAGAUGUUUAAUCAAAUCUGCAGACCAGAAAGUCUCCUCUUUUGGGCUAAACUGCUGAAUCCUUUUAAAGAUCCAGCCUGUCGUUUGUGGAGCCAAACCUGAAGGUUCUCAGCUGUACGCAAUUCUCCCUUUCCAGGAGGAAUUCCACCGGCAGGAACCUCUUCUGCUCUGGGUGGAUGGAUGUAGGACACGGAUUUGGGCGUGAACUGUUGACUGAUGUGUGUGCCUCCA
rnacentral:lncRNA from 1 species